rnacentral:rRNA from 1 species
UCUGGUUGAUUCUGCCAGUAGUCAUAUGCUUGUCUCAAAGAUUAAGCCAUGCAUGUCUAAGUAUAAGCACUUUAUACUGUGAAACUGCGAAUGGCUCAUUAAAUCAGUUAUCGUUUAUUUGAUAGUACCUUACUACAUGGAUACCUGUGGUAAUUCUAGAGCUAAUACAUGCUAAAAACCUCGACUUCGGAAGGGGUGUAUUUAUUAGAUAAAAAACCAAUGCCCUUCGGGGCUCCUUGGUGAUUCAUAAUAACUUAACGAAUCGCAUGGCCUUGCGCCGGCGAUGGUUCAUUCAAAUUUCUGCCCUAUCAACUUUCGAUGGUAGGAUAGUGGCCUACCAUGGUGGCAACGGGUAACGGGGAAUUAGGGUUCGAUUCCGGAGAGGGAGCCUGAGAAACGGCUACCACAUCCAAGGAAGGCAGCAGGCGCGCAAAUUACCCAAUCCCGACACGGGGAGGUAGUGACAAUAAAUACUGAUACGGGGCUCUUUUGGGUCUCGUAAUUGGAAUGAGUACAAUCUAAAUCCCUUAACGAGGAACAAUUGGAGGGCAAGUCUGGUGCCAGCAGCCGCGGUAAUUCCAGCUCCAAUAGCGUAUAUUAAAGUUGUUGCAGUUAAAAAGCUCGUAGUUGAACCUUGGGUCUGGCUGGCCGGUCCGCCUCACCGCGAGUACUGGUCCGGCUGGACCUUUCCUUCUGGGGAACCUCAUGGCCUUCACUGGCUGUGGGGGGAACCAGGACUUUUACUGUGAAAAAUUAGAGUGUUCAAAGCAGGCCUUUGCUCGAAUACAUUAGCAUGGAAUAGAAUAGGACGUGCGGUUCUAUUUGUUGGUUUCUAGGACCGCCGUAAUGAUUAAUAGGGAUAGUCGGGGGCGUCAGUAUUCAGCUGUCAGAGGUGAAAUUCUUGGAUUUGCUGAAGACUAACUACUGCGAAAGCAUUCGCCAAGGAUGUUUCAUUAAUCAGGGAACGAAAGUUAGGGGAUCGAAGACGAUCAGAUACCGUCGUAGUCUUAACCAUAAACUAUGCCGACUAGGGAUCGGGCGGUGUUUCUAUGAUGACCCGCUCGGCACCUUACGAGAAAUCAAAGUUUUUGGGUUCUGGGGGGAGUAUGGUCGCAAGGCUGAAACUUAAAGAAAUUGACGGAAGGGCACCACAAGGCGUGGAGCUGGCUUAAUUUGACUCAACACGGGAACUCAGGUCAGACAAAAUAAGGAUUGACAGAUUGAGAGCUCUUCUUGAUCUUUUGGAUGGUGGUGCAGGCCGUUCUUAGUUGUGUGGAGUGAUU